rnacentral:rRNA from 1 species
AGCAGCCGCGGUAAUUCCAGCUCCAAUAGCGUAUAUUAAAGUUGUUGCAGUUAAAAAGCUCGUAGUUGAAUUUCGGGGUUAGUAGGUUGGUCAUGCCUCUGGUAUGUACUGGUCUCACUGAUUCCUCCUUCCUGAUGAACCUUAAUGCCAUUAAUUUGGUGUUUUGGGGAAUUUGGACUGUUACUUUGAAAAAAUUAGAGUGUUUAAAGCAAGCUAACGCUUGAAUACAUUAGCAUGGAAUAAUAAAAUAGGACGUUCGAUCCUAUUUUGUUGGUUUCUAGGAUUGACGUAAUGAUUAAUAGGGAUAGUUGGGGGCAUUAGUAUUCAAUUGUCAGAGGUGAAAUUCUUGGAUUUAUUGAAGACUAACUACUGCGAAAGCAUUUGCCAAGGAUGUUUUCAUUAAUCAAGAACGAAAGUUAGGGGAUCGAAGACGAUCAGAUACCGUCGUAGUCUUAACCAUAAACUAUGCCGACUAGGGAUCGGAUGAUGUUAAUUUUUUAAUGACUCAUUCGGCGCCUUACG